rnacentral:lncRNA from 1 species
AUGUUCAGGAAGAGGACUUUUAAACAGGUUUAUUGGAGUUCCUCAGAAUCUGCUUUCUCAGACAGAGAUAGACAAAAGAAGAGAAUGAAGACCAGAAUGCUGAUAGGAAUGUCAACAGUAAAAUCUAGGCUUCUACCAAGAUUUCAGAAGAAGGCCAGAAAAAGAGCCCCAGAGAGAGAGAGAGAAAGCAAUGCAUGAAGCUGUGGGAAGGAAGCUGAAGGUGCAGUAGAAACCCCAGAAACCCCAGGAAG